rnacentral:rRNA from 1 species
GAGUUUGAUCCUGGCUCAGAACGAACGCUGGCGGCGUGCCUAACACAUGCAAGUCGAACGUGAUCCAGAGCUUGCUCUGGUGAAAGUGGCGCACGGGUGAGUAACGCGUGGAUAACCUACCCUGGUAUCCGGGAUAACAUUCCGAAAGGGGUGCUAAUACCGGAUAAGCCCACGGGCUCUUUGGAGCUUGCGGGAAAAGGUGGCCUCUAUUUAUAAGCUACUGUAUCAGGAUGGGUCCGCGUACCAUUAGCUAGGUGGCGGUGUAACGGACCACCAAGGCGACGAUGGUUAGCUGGUCUGAGAGGAUGAUCAGCCACACUGGAACUGAGACACGGUCCAGACUCCUACGGGAGGCAGCAGUGGGGAAUUUUGCGCAAUGGGGGAAACCCUGACGCAGCAACGCCGCGUGAGUGAUGAAGGCCUUUGGGUCGUAAAGCUCUGUCAGAGGGGAAGAAAUGAUAUAGUGCUAGUACCACUUUAUCUUGACGGUACCCUCAAAGGAAGCACCGGCUAACUCCGUGCCAGCAGCCGCGGUAAUAC